rnacentral:tRNA from 1 species
GCGGGUGUAGCUCAGCUGGUUAGAGCGUCAGAUUGUGGCUCUGAAGGUCGUGGGUUCAAAUCCCAUCACUCGCCCCA